ensembl:lncRNA
GUGGUUUUAACGAACCAGAUCACCACACAUGUGGGCGAGAAGGUUCACUGUCCUCAGUGGAAUCAGGCAGAUGGUAGGAAGAGGCUUCCAUCAUCUGCUGGAGUCUGAAGUUUUUGUGUAAAAGGGAUUCAAUGGUGAUAAAUUAGACCAGAAAUUCCCGUCAAGAGGCUCUUCUGUUUCAUCCCUCCCUGAUGAGCUGUUCUCUGAUCUGGUUGAUGGAAGCCAUCGUUCCGAGCCAUUCCUAGAUGGUAUGUGGGACAAAUGAGCGUCAGACAUGACCUUCCAAACAAGCAGCUGUUGUAGGUUCUUUGGAAUUAUACAUGCUUGAUCUUGAUGAAGAUAGUAUGACGAUAACCAGGGGGCUGAAACCGCAAUCCUCUCACUCAAAAAACCUGUCUGGGCCUUCUGUGAAUCCCACGACUUCUCUGAUUCCAUGGCUGUGCAGUGACCUGUGUCUUCUGUCACUCUAUAUAUGGACCAGUGCAUGGAUCCUCCAGCAAACGUCCAGGUGUACAGUGAAAAAAAAGUCUUGUUUGGGGGCAAAGCUUUGAGGAAAGAGAUACAAGCUCUGUUCUUGUGUUGUCUAACAGGCACAUGUUCCUGUCCUGUAACUUUACCCCCGGACACCUCUUUCUUUACAUCCCACUGUUCCACUCGGCAAGGUAUUUUAGAAUUUUUGUUUGGACCUUCAGUGUCUACGGAGGAGGACUCUGUUUGUGACAGCCGCGCUGGGAAACACAUGGAGUCAUUGUGUUAACGCACCUCAUUGUCCAGUACGAGGACACAGAACAGAGACAGGUAAACAACGCGAAAAACUACCAAAAAAAAACCACCUAACCAGGUGACAAAAAAAAAACGUUAGUAGAUAUGCACAAUACAAAUAUACAGUUUUUCUCUCGCGGGAAAAGGGACCAACAGUAUUGAUGACAUCAUCUUGCAGCAUUUUUUGUCCAAUCAGAUUCUCUCUAGAAUGAUAAUGUCCCUCCUCUUACUACCUGAAACUGACUAGCAACUCACAAAUCAUGAUUCUGCUGUUAUUUUAUUAUUCUUUUUUUUUUUUUUUAAAGAACAGUAUCUUCAGUAUGUCCCACCUAAACGUCCUGUUCCAACAGGAAGUAUGAAAACACAGGGAAUAAAACUGCACUCGCCUGGAGACUUCA